rnacentral:rRNA from 1 species
CCCUUAGAUGUCCUGGGCCGCACGCGCGCUACACUGAGUGUCUGAGAUACGAGUCUGCCUGGUCCGGCAAGGUCUAGGUAAUCGCUAAAAGACACAUCAUGCUUGGGAUAGAUUAUUGCAAAUAUUAAUCUUGAACGAGGAAUUCCUAGUAAGCGCAAGUCAACAGCUUGCGUCGAUUACGUCCCUGCCCUUUGUACACACCGCCCGUCGCUACUACUGAUUGGAUGUUUAAGCGAGGUUCUCGAACUGCUAGCGACUUAGCUUCGGUGAGGUCGCAGUGUGGGAAGUGAACCUAGCUUUGGUGUCUAGAGGAAGUAAAAGUCGUAACA